rnacentral:rRNA from 1 species
AGUGUCAAAAGGGCGUUUAGUGGAUGCCUUGGCAUGUAGAGGCGAUGAAGGACGUGGCACGCUGCGAUAAGUCUCGGGGAGUUGCGAGCAGACUUUGAUCCGAGAAUUUCCGAAUGGGGAAACCCACCGUUUCGGCGGUAUCGCACACUGAAUACAUAGGUGUGCGAGGCAAACCCGGGGAACUGAAACAUCUAAGUACCCGGAGGAAAGGACAUCAAUUGAUACUCCCCUAGUAGCGGCGAGCGAACGGGGACCAGCCGAGCCUUGAGCGUGACUAGAAUGUGCUGGAAAGCACAGCCAUAGCGGGUGACAGCCCCGUAUAGGAAGCGUGAUGGGACGUAUUAAGUAGGGCGGGACACGUGAAAUCCUGUCUGAACAUCGGAGGACCACCUUCGAAGGCUAAGUACUCCU